UUGCUCGGAAUCACUGGGCGUAAAGCGCACGUAGGCGGAUUGCUAAGUCAGGGGUGAAAUCCUGGAGCUCAACUCCAGAACUGCCUUUGAUACUGGCGAUCUCGAGUCCGGGAGAGGUGAGUGGAACUGCGAGUGUAGAGGUGAAAUUCGUAGAUAUUCGCAAGAACACCAGUGGCGAAGGCGGCUCACUGGCCCGGUACUGACGCUGAGGUGCGAAAGCGUGGGGAGCAAACAGG
rnacentral:rRNA from 1 species